AGAACCCAUGCGGAUAUAGUUUUCAUAUAAUUCAUCCCCUUGACCAAAAUGAUCAUAGGACACCCCAGAGUUUAACUGUUAACUCUGAUCAGGUUGUCCACAUUGUAUUUCAAAAUAUCUAAUCCAUCUGAUGGAUUACCCUGGCCAAGAUUUUGCUAAAUUGAAAUACAGUGACUCAUUCUUCUCCAACUCUUGGAGUGGUCAAUCCCAUCUCGAUCACACUCUGACUUCACAAGUACU
rnacentral:lncRNA from 1 species